GACGUAGGGCGCGAGCGUUGUCCGGAUUUAUUGGGCGUAAAGAGCUCGUAGGCGGCUUGUCGCGUCGUCCGUGAAAACCUGCAGCUCAACUGCAGGCUUGCGGUCGAUACGGGCAGGCUCGAGUUCGGUAGGGGAGACUGGAAUUCCUGGUGUAGCAGUGAAAUGCGUAGAUAUCAGGAGGAAUACCGAUGGCGAAGGCAGGUCUCUGGGCUGACACUGACGCUCAUGCACGAAAGCGUGGGGAGCAAACAGG
rnacentral:rRNA from 1 species